UACGAAGGGGGCGAGCGUUGUUCGGAAUCACUGGGCGUAAAGCGCACGUAGGCGGAUCCUUAAGUCGGGGGUGAAAUCCUGGAGCUCAACUCCAGAACUGCCUUCGAUACUGAGGAUCUCGAGUCCGGGAGAGGUGAGUGGAACUGCGAGUGUAGAGGUGAAAUUCGUAGAUAUUCGCAAGAACACCAGUGGCGAAGGCGGCUCACUGGCCCGGUACUGACGCUGAGGUGCGAAAGCGUGGGGAGCAAACAGG
rnacentral:rRNA from 1 species